rnacentral:rRNA from 1 species
AGAGUUUGAUCCUGGCUCAGGAUGAACGCUAGCGACAGGCUUAACACAUGCAAGUCGAGGGGCAGCGGUGGUGAAGGCUUGCCUUUACCAGCCGGCGACCGGCGCACGGGUGAGUAACACGUAUGCAACCUGCCUGCCACAGCCGGAUAAUCGGGAGAAAUUCCGUCUAAUACGGCAUAAUGCAUCGACGGGACAUCCUGUUGGUGCCAAAGGUUGAUUCCGGUGGCGGAUGGGCAUGCGUCGCAUUAGUUAGUUGGCGGUGUAACGGACCACCAAGACGACGAUGCGUAGGGGUUCUGAGAGGAAGGUCCCCCACACUGGUACUGAGACACGGACCAGACUCCUACGGGAGGCAGCAGUGAGGAAUAUUGGUCAAUGGGCGGGAGCCUGAACCAGCCAAGUCGCGUGAGGGAUGACGGCCCUAUGGGUUGUAAACCUCUUUUGCCGGGGAGCAAAGUGCCGCACGUGUGCGGUUUGGAGAGUACCCGGAGAAAAAGCAUCGGCUAACUCCGUGCCAGCAGCCGCGGUAAUACGGAGGAUGCGAGCGUUAUCCGGAUUUAUUGGGUUUAAAGGGUGCGUAGGCGGACGCUUAAGUCAGCGGUAAAAUUGCGGGGCUCAACCUCGUCGAGCCGUUGAAACUGGGUGCCUUGAGUGGGCGAGAAGUACGCGGAAUGCGUGGUGUAGCGGUGAAAUGCAUAGAUAUCACGCAGAACUCCGAUUGCGAAGGCAGCGUACCGGCGCCCAACUGACGCUGAAGCACGAAGGCGUGGGUAUCGAACAGGAUUAGAUACCCUGGUAGUCCACGCAGUAAACGAUGAAUGCUAGUUGUCCGGGGCGAUUGAGUUCUGGGUGACACAGCGAAAGCGUUAAGCAUUCCACCUGGGGAGUACGCCGGCAACGGUGAAACUCAAAGGAAUUGACGGGGGCCCGCACAAGCGGAGGAACAUGUGGUUUAAUUCGAUGAUACGCGAGGAACCUUACCCGGGCUCAAACGCAGGAGGGAUGUUUUUGAAAGGAGGCAGCCAGCAAUGGUCUCCUGCGAGGUGCUGCAUGGUUGUCGUCAGCUCGUGCCGUGAGGUGUCGGCUUAAGUGCCAUAACGAGCGCAACCCCUACCUACAGUUGCCAUCGCGUGAUGGCGGGCACUCUGUGGGGACUGCCUGCGCAAGCAGUGAGGAAGGCGGGGAUGACGUCAAAUCAGCACGGCCCUUACGUCCGGGGCGACACACGUGUUACAAUGGCAGGUACAGCGGGAAGCCACCCGGCGACGGGGCGCGGAACCCGAAAACCUGUCUCAGUUCGGAUUGGAGUCUGCAACCCGACUCCAUGAAGCUGGAUUCGCUAGUAAUCGCGCAUCAGCCACGGCGCGGUGAAUACGUUCCCGGGCCUUGCACACACAGCCCGUCAAG